UGGGGAAUAUUGCACAAUGGGGGAAACCCUGAUGCAGCGACGCCGCGUGAGCGAAUAAGGCCUUUGGGUCGUAAAGCUCCUUUAUGAGGGAAGAUAAUGACGGUACCUCAAGAAAAAGCCUCGGCUAACUACGUGCCAGCAGCCGCGGUAAUACGUAGGGGGCUAGCGUUGUCCGGAAUCACUGGGGGUAAAGGGUUCGCAGGCGGAAUAACAAGUCAGAUGUGAAAGGCAUGGGCUCAACCCAUGUAAGCAUUUGAAACUGUAAUUCUUGAGAAGUGGAGAGGUAAGUGGAAUUCCUAGUGUAGCGGUGAAAUGCGUAGAUAUUAGGAGGAAUACCUGUGGCGAAGGCGACUUACUGGACACAAAUCUGACGCUGAGGAACGAAAGCGUGGGUAGCAAACAGG
rnacentral:rRNA from 1 species